rnacentral:rRNA from 1 species
UUGAAGUUACAAAGGGCGUAUGGUGAAUGCCUUGGGAAUAGGAGACGAUGAAGGACGUGACUACCUGCGAUAAGGUUCGGGGAGCUGGAAGUAAGCUGGAAGUAAGCUU